UACGUAGGGGGCAAGCGUUAUCCGGAUUUACUGGGUGUAAAGGGUGCGUAGGUGGUCUGGCAAGUCAGAAGUGAAAACGCAGGGCUUAACCCUGCGACUGCUUUUGAAACUGUCAGACUGGAGUGCAGGAGAGGCAAGCGGAAUUCCUAGUGUAGCGGUGAAAUGCGUAGAUAUUAGGAGGAACACCAGUGGCGAAGGCGGCUUGCUGGACUGUUACUGACACUGAGGCACGAAAGCGUGGGGAGCAAACAGG
rnacentral:rRNA from 1 species